rnacentral:rRNA from 1 species
GGGCCCGCACAAGCGGUGGAGCAUGUGGUUUAAUUCGAUGAUACGCGAGGAACCUUACCAGGGCUUAAAUGUAGUGGGACAGGUCUAGAGAUAGACCCUUCUUCGGACUCAUUACAAGGUGCUGCAUGGUUGUCGUCAGCUCGUGCCGUGAGGUGUCAGGUUAAGUCCUAUAACGAGCGCAACCCCUAUCGUUAGUUGCCAGCGGGUAAUGCCGGGAACUCUAGCGAAACUGCCGGUGCAAACCGUGAGGAAGGUGGGGAUGACGUCAAAUCAUCACGGCCCUUACGUCCUGGGCUACACACGUGCUACAAUGGUCGGUACAGAGAGCAGCCACUACGCGAGUAGGAGCGAAUCUUCAAAACCGAUCUCAGUUCGGAUCGCAGUCUGCAACUCGACUGCGUGAAGCUGGAAUCGCUAGUAAUCGG